CCCGCACAAGCAGCGGAGCGUGUGGUUUAAUUCGAUGCGACACGAAGAACCUUACCUGGGUUUGACAUGUACGUAGUAGAGAACCGAAAGGGGAUCGACGCUUCGGCGAGCGUACACAGGUGCUGCAUGGCUGUCGUCGGCUCGUGCCGUGAGGUGUUGGGUUAAGUCCCACAACGAGCGCAACCCUCGUUGCUAGUUACACGUAUCUAGCGAGACUGCCGGCAUAUAACCGGAGGAAGGUGGGAUGACGUCAAGUCAGCAUGGCCUUUAUGUCCAGGGCUACACACACGCUACAAUGGUCGGUACAGAGGGUCGCGAAGCCGCGAGGCGGAGCCAAUCUCAAAAAGCCGAUCCCAGUUCAGAUUGCAGGCUGCAACCCGCCUGCAUGAAGUCGGAGUUGCUAGUAACCGCAGGUCAGCCAUACUGCGGUGAAUACGUUCCCGGGCCUU
rnacentral:rRNA from 1 species